rnacentral:rRNA from 1 species
ACGCGUAUGCAAUCUGCCUUCCCAGAGGGAUAGCCCAGAGAAAUUUGGAUUAAUACCUCAUAGCAUCAUGACCCGGCAUCGGGAUAUGAUUAAAGUCACAACGGUGGAAGAUGAGCAUGCGUCCCAUUAGCUAGUUGGUAAGGUAACGGCUUACCAAGGCUACGAUGGGUAGGGGUCCUGAGAGGGAGAUCCCCCACACUGGUACUGAGACACGGACCAGACUCCUACGGGAGGCAGCAGUGAGGAAUAUUGGUCAAUGGGCGCAAGCCUGAACCAGCCAUGCCGCGUGCAGGAUGACGGUCCUAUGGAUUGUAAACUGCUUUUGUACGGGAAGAAACCCUCCUACGUGUAGGAGCUUGACGGUACCGUAAGAAUAAGGAUCGGCUAACUCCGUGCCAGCAGCCGCGGUAAUACGGAGGAUCCAAGCGUUAUCCGGAAUCAUUGGGUUUAAAGGGUCUGUAGGCGGUCUUGUAAGUCAGUGGUGAAAGCCCAUCGCUCAACGGUGGAACGGCCAUUGAUACUGCUGGACUUGAAUUAUUGGGAAGCAACUAGAAUAUGUAGUGUAGCGGUGAAAUGCUUAGAGAUUACAUGGAAUACCAAUUGCGAAGGCAGGUUGCUACCAAUGGAUUGACGCUGAUGGACGAAAGCGUGGGUAGCGAACAGGAUUAGAUACCCUGGUAGU